UACUUUCGUUCGGACCUCCGAUCAAGCAAGAGGACCCGCUGAAUUUAAGCAUAUAACUAAGCGGAGGAAAAGAAACUAACCAGGAUUCCCCCAGUAACGGCGAGUGAAGCGGGAAGAGCUCACGUUGUAAAUCUGGCUUCGGCCCGAAUUGUAGUCUGGAGAGGCGAGGCCAGCCGGCAGCGGGGGCGAAGUCUCUUGGAAAAGAGCAUCAAGGAGGGUGACAAUCCCGUUCUUGCCCCCAGUUCUGCCGCGCGUACGGCCCGUUUUCUACGAGUCGAGUUGCUUGGGAUUGCAGCUCAAAGCGGGUGGUAAAUUCCAUCUAAAGCUAAACACGGGUGGGAGACCGAUAGCGAACAAGUACCGUGAGGGAAAGAUGCAAAGAACUUUGAAAAGAGAGUUAAAGAGUGCCUGAAAUUGCUGAAAGGGAAGCGAAGGAAACCAGUGUCUGACUCAUCCGCUUCUCCUUCGCCCCUCGSUUGGUUUGCGUUUGAGUCGUGGCCAGGGCCGGGUCGAGUUGCGNGAGCCUGCACCUCGGARGGUAGCCUCUCUUCGGAGGGUGAAUACCGUGGUGUGUCGUNGCGAUUCUGGCCGGUUCUGACGAAAUGGUUUUCUUUACCCCGUCU
rnacentral:rRNA from 1 species